CAUAUUCCAAGCUGCAUGCUCGGUCAAAAAGGACAAUCAUCCCUGCUAGAGGAGGACCUUUCUUCUGUCAAGGGUAUACACAUAGCUGUGCUCCUCUGCUAAAACCUCCAAACAAGCUCUCAAGAUAUAUUCCUAUUCUAUGCACAGAAAACC
rnacentral:sRNA from 1 species